UACGUAGGGUGCAAGCGUUGUCCGGAAUUAUUGGGCGUAAAGAGCUCGUAGGCGGUUUGUCGCGUCUGCUGUGAAAACCCGAGGCUCAACCUCGGGCCUGCAGUGGGUACGGGCAGACUAGAGUGCGGUAGGGGAGAUUGGAAUUCCUGGUGUAGCGGUGGAAUGCGCAGAUAUCAGGAGGAACACCGAUGGCGAAGGCG
rnacentral:rRNA from 1 species